GACAGAGGGUGCGAACGUUGUUCGGAAUUACUGGGCGUAAAGCGCGUGUAGGCGGCAGCGCAAGUCGGGCGUGAAAUCCCACGGCUCAACCGUGGAAGUGCACUCGAAACUGCGCAGCUAGAGUCCUGGAGAGGAAGGUGGAAUGCUUGGUGUAGAGGUGAAGUGCGUAGAUAUCGGGAGGAACACCAGUGGCGAAGGCGACUUCCUGGCCUGUUCUUGACGCUGAGGCGCGAAAGCUAGGGGAGCAAACGGG
rnacentral:rRNA from 1 species